rnacentral:rRNA from 1 species
AAGCGAACCUGCGAAGGCAAGCGGAUCUCUUAAAGCCGUUCUCAGUUCGGACUGUAGGCUGCAACUCGCCUACACGAAGCUGGAAUCGCUAGUAAUCGCGGAUCAGCACGCCGCGGUGAAUACGUUCCCGGGCCUUGUACACACCGCCCGUCACACCAUGAGAGUCUGUAACACCCAAAGCCGGUGGGAUAACCUUUAUAGGAGUCAGCCGUCUAAGGUAGGACAGAUGAUUAGGGUGAAGUCGUAACAAGGUACC